UGGGCAGCGUGAGGAUUGGAGUGACUUUGACAAGGGCUAAAUUGUGAUGGCUAGAAGACUGGCUCUUGUGGGGUGUUCCCGGUCUGCAGAGGUCAGUACCUAACAAAAGUGGUCCAAGGAAGGAAAACGCUCAAAUUGCUGAGAAGUCGAAACAAGCUCGAACAACAACUCACUGUUACGUAGACUGUUGAACAGAGGCAUGCACAAUAUUAACAGGUUAUGUGUCACAAGUUGUCACUGUAUCAGUAUUAUUUCUUCCAGCAUACUAUAGUGCCCCUACUGAGUCUCCCACAGAGUAGAAAAACCAUGAAAGCCAUGAAAGGAAAUUGAAUCUAUCCUCUGGCUUUCCAGAAUAUCAUUGACAAUUGCUGUUUGUCAUACAGUGUGCUCAGCUUAUAUGUCAUCACAUCACAUCACACACAGUACAUGUUGAUGGUCAGUGUAUUUUGCAGCCAACGGAUUUUUGUUUUGAAAUAAGGAAACUAAAAUCAGGAAAUGAGCCGUUUCCCAAAUACCAGUUAUCAGUAACGGAACAAAAAACAGAGAAACAUAAAAUGGAAAAUGGGUUGUUUUCCACCUUUUAUUCCUCUAUUUAUAAACAGUAGUUGGGAAACAGCUUGUUUCCCAGUUGUCAAAAGCUCAGUGCAGUAGUCAGCUGGGUGAACUUGUCUUCCAUGCAGACUUCAUCUCGCUCUCUGGUUCUGGAUGUUGGAGAGGACCGGCUGGUGUUGACGGCUCGGCCCUCGCUCUUCCAUCUCGACAUCUUCCAUCCCUUCCUCAUCGACCAGGAGAACAGUGUGGCCCAGUACAACAACAGCACUCAGAUCCUCACAGUCACCAUGCCUGUGGUGUCUUCAUGAAACUACAGAAAUAUUGUCCAGAUAUUUUUUUUGUUUCAAAAUGCUCCUGUGACAAUAAAAGUGUUUUUAAAAAGUUUUU